rnacentral:tRNA from 1 species
GGGUGGGUCGCGAGGCUACACAAGCGAUCGGAGUACAGACUUAGUCUCAGACUCAGGCUGAAUGAUCCAACGAUGACAGCGCAGGUUCGAUUCCUGCCCCGCCCA